GUCAACUUCUGAUUCCUUGCCCUGCAAUGCAGAUACGAUACUGCUUCAGGGGACUACUUCAGAGGUCUCGUUGAGAGGAUUAAUUGGGUGAUUGCAAAGAUGAGCACCAUACCGGCAGAAGCAAUUACAGCACGAUGACGAUUUUACUUAUGGAUAUUCAGAGGCAAAGAAAAACACCAACACACUAAUAGAGAGCAGUUUAAGGAGGAAUCAGCAACCAUGCGGAGGAAGGGGAGAUAAUUGUG